AAUGGUUGGAGCCCCUGAAGACUUCACUGCUCAGAACUGCUGGAUCUUACGGGGGGGGGAGAGCCCCAAACAAAAAGAGUUUCAUAGAUUUCAUAGACAUUAGGGCUGGAAGGGACCUCGGAAGAUCAUCGAGCUACGGCUGAGGACAGGAUAUGUGCUUGACGGGAAAUGUAGCCACCUUGACCUUAAGAGGAGCAGAACUUCAGGUACAUCCCACCAAAAAGAAACAUUUGGGAUCGGUGCCUAAGAAACUGGGCCCAAAGCAAACGCCACUGAGGUGUGCAGAGGAGGAGAGCAAACAAACCAACCAAACAAAAAAAAGAGGCAGGGGAAGAAGGAGGAACAGAGAAGAAAGGAAAUUGUUAAAGGAGAACCUGGAAAAACAGAGAAAAACACUGUCCUGGAUGUGGCAAGAAAGAGAAAAAAAAUAUUCUAGGGCAGUAAGAGAAGAUAGAAUGAAAUGCCUGCCAUGGUGAAGGAAAAAACGAAAUGUGUAAUACAUGGAAAAGACAGAGCAAAGCAAAGCAGACCUUGAAAGAGGAAGAGAUUCGUGGGGAGGUGAGAACGUGAACAAAAAAGUAGUAAAAAAACCCCAGGAAGACCACUUAAUACAGCAGUUCAGAUAGAACAAUAGGUGCUAUAUAUAGCUAAUGGACAUGUGUAUAAUGUGUAAUAUUUUACACUCGGACCCCAAGUUACGUGACGGAUACCUUCCUGAAAAACACCAUGUACGCUGAAAGCGUGUAACUUGAGGCAUUAAGUCAAUGGAAAACAGCGGGAUAGGAACCUAGGAC
rnacentral:lncRNA from 1 species